UGGGGAAUAUUGGACAAUGGGCGCAAGCCUGAUCCAGCCAUGCCGCGUGCAGGAUGACGGUCCUAUGGAUUGUAAACUGCUUUUUGUACAGGAAGAAACAGUUCUACGUGUAGAACCUUGACGGUACUGUAAGAAUAAGGAUCGGCUAAACUCCGUGCCAGCAGCCGCGGUAAUACGGAGGAUCCAAGCGUUAUCCGGAAUCAUUGGGUUUAAAGGGUCCGUAGGCGGUUAGAUAAGUCAGUGGUGAAAGCCCAUCGCUCAACGGUGGAACGGCCAUUGAUACUGUCUGACUUGAAUUAUUAGGAAGUAACUAGAAUAUGUAGUGUAGCGGUGAAAUGCUUAGAGAUUACAUGGAAUACCAAUUGCGAAGGCAGGUUACUACUAAUGGAUUGACGCUGAUGGACGAAAGCGUGGGUAGCGAACAGGAUUAGAUACCCCCGUAGUCCCUG
rnacentral:rRNA from 1 species